rnacentral:rRNA from 1 species
CCUACGGGAGGCAGCAGUGAGGAAUAUUGGUCAAUGGACGGAAGCCUGAACCAGCCAUGUCGCGUGCAGGAAGACGGCCCUAUGAGUUGUAAACUGCUUUUGUACAAGGGUAAACCUGAACACGUGUAUCCUUCUGAAAGUACUGUACGAAUAAGGAUCGGCUAACUCCGUGCCAGCAGCCGCGGUAAUACGGAGGAUCCGAGCGUUAUCCGGAUUUAUUGGGUUUAAAGGGUGCGUAGGCGGAUUGUUAAGUUAGCUGUGAAAUGUCCGAGCUUAACUCGAGAACUGCCAUUAAUACUGGUAAUCUAGAGAGUAGGUGCGGUAGGCGGAAUGUAUGGUGUAGCGGUGAAAUGCUUAGAUAUCACACAGAACACCGAUUGCGAAGGCAGCUUACCAAUCUAUAACUGACGUUGAUGCACGAAAGCGUGGGGAGCAAACAGGAUUAGAUACCCGUGUAGUC